rnacentral:lncRNA from 1 species
GCCUCCCAAAGUGCUGGGAUUAUAGGCGUGAACCACCAUGCCUGGCCUUGAUCUAUUAAUACGUCCCAGGAGCUACAGAAUUAUAUUCAUGAACUUUGAAUGACUUCAGUCAAGUCACUUUUCUUCUCUAAGUCUUAUUUCUCAUCUGUAUAAUGUGAGUGAGAGGUGAGGGGUGGGUAGGGGAUAUUGGGUAGGUGGCUACCUGUGAUCUCUACAUUGGGUAGAGGGCUGUGUUCACUAGAGUUCCAGAUUUUCUGUGAUUCUAAGAAGCCUUUGGAAUCUUGGAGUGAGUAUUCCCAGGGAACUCUGAUGUGCUGAAAAGCUCUCCUACAUCGUUGAUGUCAGCUGUGCCUGAGGCUUUUUAAUGGGUCAACAGACCCCAAAGCUGCGUGACUGUACCAUCACAGAAGAUGGAGAGUUGCAUGCAUCCAGUGCAGGUGUUUGACCAAGCAGGGAAAUUAAAAGACCAAAAGGCAAGGGAGAUCGAGAGGCUGAUACAAGCAGUGAUUGAAAUAUGAACCAUGGACUCUACCAUAGAUAGAAAAGUUGGAACUGAUAGAUGGAGAAAAAGGAAUGCUACCAAGCAAGAGAAAGUCCUAAUGAGUUAAAAGGCACGGCUGGAGUGGGAGAUCUAUAAACUGACAGUAUAAAAGAUCAUGGUCAAAGAGUGGGAUGUUAGAACUGAUGGCUUUUUAUGGAACAAUAUCAUGUGAGGACAAAGUCUACAGUGUGGCCCAGGAGUGGGUGGCUGAGGCAGAAUGGAGAAAUGGUCACUGGAGAUGAGCAGAUCAAAGAAGUGAGAGACUGGAUUGUUGGACAGAAAAUCCACAAAAACCCUGACCUUACCUAUUGUGAUGGCAAGAACCCAGAUGAAGAGAAAGCUGCAAACCAGGAACUUAAAAUACUUAAAGAACCAGUUUCAGUUGAGGCAAGAGGAUGAAGGUUGGAUUCAGCUUGACUUCCCCUUUUGGGGAAUAACAAUGUCAUAGACACAAGAUGCAGAUACAGUGACCCAGAGAUGCUAGUUUGCUGGACCAAGGUGAUAGAACAACUUCACGAUGAAACUACUCUAUCCCUCCGUUAAGUGCUCAAAAUUACCCAUUGAAAUGGAUGCUCAAUACCCACUUACAGAAAAGCGUGCAGGAGCAGGGAGGGACUUGAACUAAAGCCCAUUUGAAUCCUUGUACCCUUGACCUUAGUAGGUCACACAGGAAGAAUAAA